AUUGAACGCUGGCGGCAGGCUUAACACAUGCAAGUCGAGCGGAGCGAGGGUGCUUGCACCUUAGCUUAGCGGCGGACGGGUGAGUAAUGCUUAGGAAUCUGCCUAUUAGUGGGGGACAACAUUCCGAAAGGGAUGCUAAUACCGCAUACGCCCUACGGGGGAAAGCAGGGGAUCUUCGGACCUUGCGCUAAUAGAUGAGCCUAAGUCGGAUUAGCUAGUUGGUGGGGUAAAGGCCUACCAAGGCGACGAUCUGUAGCGGGUCUGAGAGGAUGAUCCGCCACACUGGGACUGAGACACGGCCCAGACUCCUACGGGGGGCAGCAGUGGGGAAUAUUGGACAAUGGGCGGAGGCCUGAUCCAGCCAUGCCGCGUGUGUGAAGAAGGCCUUUUGGUUGUAAAGCACUUUAAGCGAGGAGGAGGCUACUAGUAUUAAUACUACUGGAUAGUGGACGUUACUCGCAGAAUAAGCACCGGCUAACUCUGUGCCAGCAGCCGCCGUAAAAC
rnacentral:rRNA from 1 species